rnacentral:rRNA from 1 species
AUUGAACGCUGGCGGCAGGCUUAACACAUGCAAGUCGAGCGAGCGGCGGACGGGUGAGUAAUGUCUGGGAAACUGCCUGAUAGAGGGGGAUAACUACUGGAAACGGUAGCUAAUACCGCAUACCAUCGGAUGUGCCCAGAUGGGAUUAGCUAGUAGGUGGGGUAAUGGCUCACCUAGGCGACGAUCCCUAGCUGGUCUGAGAGGAUGAUCAGCCACACUGGGACUGAGACACGGUCCAGACUCCUACGGGAGGCAGCAGUGGGGAAUAUUGCACAAUGGGCGCAAGCCUGAUGCAGCCAUGCCGCGUGUAUGAAGAAGGCCUUAGGGUUGUAAAGCACUUUCAGCGAGGAGGCGUUACUCGCAGAAGAAGCACCGGCUAACUCCGUGCCAGCAGCCGCGGUAAUUC